rnacentral:SRP_RNA from 1 species
GCCGUGGGUAGGGCCCCUAAACCCCGCUUAGGGCUAGGGGCCAGAGCAACCUCUCGAGCCCCUAUGCGCGCCCGCUAACCCCCACGCCCACCAAUGACCCCCGCCCCGUGGGGCUAGCGGUGGCGGAGCCCUCCUCGGAGGAGGAGGGUAAACCGCCUUAACCGGGGGAACCAGGCCAGGCCCGGAAGGGAGCAACCUAACCCUGGCCGCUAGCGUUCACGGGUCACCGGGGCCGAGGGAGGGCGUGGAAGGGCUCUGGCGGGAAAGCGGUAGGGGCUCGAGAGGGGCCGCGGC